GAUGUCAAAUCAUCAUGCCCUUUAUGUCCUGGGCAACACACGUACUACAAUGGUCGCAACAGAGAGAAACGAAGCAGCGAUGCAGAGUAAACUUAAAAAGCGAUCUCAGUUCGGAUUGAAGGCUGAAAUUCGCCUUCAUGAAGUCGGAAUUGCUAGUAAUGGCAGGUCAGCAUACUGCCGUGAAUACGUUCCCGGGCCUU
rnacentral:rRNA from 1 species